GUUAAAUUGCGUAACGGUAAUUAUAAUGUAUUUCGUAAAAAGUUUUUCUGGGAAUUUGAAUACUGAUCGACAUCGGCCGUAAGUUUUGGGAUCGAUGUUCGCUUAUAAUAACCGCGUCUCCCUUUAUCUAUUACGCAACAAUACGCGGGAGUAUCUGAUAAAUACUUAGACAACACGAGGCAUGACACGUGCGUCUGUAUUUACGGCGCCACUGUCGUAUCAUCGUCGUUGAUAUCGCUUUGUAACCAAUUUUAACCGUUUUAUUUAUCACGCGUGCAACACGGUUACGCGGUGGUGAUACUUAAUUUAAAAGCACGGUCGUGGUGUAUUCAUUGUAUUCAUUGGAAAAAGAGUCAGAUACAAAAGAUCCUGAAAUCUAAGAAGUCAUCUGCGAUGCUUUAAAUAAAUACUCGAUCGAUGGACGGAAUUACCUGGAUUCUAAGAUUGAGAGAUGUCUACUGUGGUAGCCGCUGCUCUCGGAGCGAUUGCUGUUCCUCGUACUCGAACUGCCGCUGCAACAGACAACGACAAAAAUUGAAAUCGUUCUAAAAAAAAAAAAAAUAUUUUAAUCAAGCAACAACCAAGAAAAAAAUGUUUCUUCAUUGCAUCUGAAAAAAUAUUUAAUUGUUGUCUUGCACUGCCGUUUCGACACAUCUAUAUAUAUAUAUAUAUAUAUAUAUAAUUGUAAGCUCUUUUUAUCGCUUAAUUUGCAAAUUACUUCAUAUCCGCAUUUUGACAUACGUUACUUUUUGACGAACGCGGAACGUAAUAUUCAACAGAUUACUGACAAUAAACUUCUGUCCAAUUAUCGAGUUGGAUCUUAGCCGGAUGUUUCCACCCUCACCAUUGUUGAUCGAUUUCAAGUGAGAGAUUCACAACAACGAAAAACAUGCAUGAAUGACAAAUGUCAAUUAAGCGGAGAAUAAGAUUCACUUAAAUUCGUAACAUUAAAUUAUACUUAAUUUGAGUCAUUUUUAAUCAUUCCUCUACAUGGAGAAAUUUUUUCAUAAAAUUUAUCCUGAAAAUCGUGAAAAUUGUAAUUUAACAAUACAUAAAUUCCAAUGACAAAAAGAAACGUUGAACAGUUUACGAUUUUUAUUGUUUAAAAUAGAAUAAAUAACAAAUAGCUCUAGAAACAUAAUAUUCUUUCUAUUCUUUUUCUCUUCUCUCUUCUUUUUCUAAAAAAAGACAUGUCAUCGACACUCGCAUUUUUCAAAGUGCAAUUGUUGGCAAUUUUUGCUGAUUUGUUUUUCGCUGCGCUUACUUCGCAAACGGCUGUUAGCAAAUGCGGAAUUAGCAAAUGACAAUUCGUAUGAAAGGUUAAUAUUAUAAUUUUUUUUUAAAUAACGCACGUGAAGUACGCAUCCGUGAUGCCUAGUUUUAUAUAAAUUUUAUAUAAAGCCUGAUACAAUAUUUAUUGGCCAAAUUGACGUCGCGUUUUGGCAAUCGUGUCUCAAAUGGAAAAGUGAAGCGUGUGCCGUCAUCAACUCACAGAAUCUAUCAAAGUUGUUUUUCGUCAAAAGUAAAUCGAUAAUAUAUAUUUUUCUAUUGUUAACCUUUAUUUUGAUGUGCAACGUGAAAGGUUAUUUUCAUCAUAAUAAAUAUAAAAAUUCAGAGCAGUUCUAUAUUCAAGAUGGGUGAACGCUCUGUUGAAGAUGAGCAUUAAAUAUAAUUUAUACUUGUACGUCAAUUUCUACUUGUUUUUAAUAAUCAUUUUUAAAAUAAAGUACUGAUUUUUUUCAAAAAAAUACAUUCCACAAUGCAACGACAGUAAUGACUGCGUUUGCCAAAUAUGCGAAUUCCGCAAGUAACGCAAUCUUGCGAUUGUUGAAAUCUAUGAUCAGCAGGCAAGAAUCCUGAUCGGGAUUCCUCCCGUUGCGCUUGAUCGCGGCAAAACGUGCGCGUGCAUGGCAACGUGCGAAACAAUUGCAAAAUCGCGGCAUAGUAAUCUCGCAACGGCCUCGGCCGCUCGGGAAAGUGGCCUAGUUUAUACCAAUUCCUUGAUCGGUACCAAGUAUGCAUGAUAACGUUUAUGAAUGACUUGGCUAAUCAGUGAUCUGCGAUGCUCCGAAUUAAUGUGACUUCCAUAAACAACUUUAGAUUUUAGUUUAAAUUGAAUUGAAUUUAACGCUUAUAUUUAUGGUGCAAAAUAUAUAUUAGGAAGUUAAUAAUUAAGAGAGAAUAUCUGUAAGAUAUUAUAUUACUAAACUACGCGUUAUAUAAUAAGAGUUACGCGAACGAGCGAACAAGAGAACGAAUAAAUAAGCAUAGGAUGAAAAAGUAUACGUAAGAGAAAAAAUAUGAAAAGCACAUAAAAAAAA